rnacentral:rRNA from 1 species
UGGGGAAUAUUGGACAAUGGGGGCAACCCUGAUCCAGCAAUGCCGCGUGUGUGAAGAAGGUUUUCGGAUUGUAAAGCACUUUCGACGGGGACGAUGAUGACGGUACCCGUAGAAGAAGCCCCGGCUAACUUCGUGCCAGCAGCCGCGGUAAUACGAAGGGGGCUAGCGUUGCUCGGAAUGACUGGGCGUAAAGGGCGUGUAGGCGGUUUGUACAGUCAGAUGUGAAAUCCCCGGGCUUAACCUGGGAGCUGCAUUUGAUACGUGCAGACUAGAGUGUGAGAGAGGGUUGUGGAAUUCCCAGUGUAGAGGUGAAAUUCGUAGAUAUUGGGAAGAACACCGGUGGCGAAGGCGGCAACCUGGCUCAUAACUGACGCUGAGGCGCGAAAGCGUGGGGGAGCAAACA